rnacentral:piRNA from 1 species
UCAAUAAAAAGUGAGCACUGCCU